rnacentral:rRNA from 1 species
AGCAGCCGCGGUAAUUCCAGCUCCAAUAGCGUAUAUUAAAGUUGUUGCAGUUAAAAAGCUCGUAGUUGAAUUUCGGGGUCAGUAGAUUGGUCGUGCCACUGGUAUGUACUGGUCUUACUGGCUCCUCCUUCCUGAUGAACCGUAAUGCCAUUAAUUUGGUGUUGCGGGGAAACUGGACUGUUACUUUGAAAAAAUUAGAGUGUUUAAAGCAGGCUAACGCUUGAAUACAUUAGCAUGGAAUAAUGAAAUAGGACGUUCGAUCUUAUUUUGUUGGUUUCUAGGAUUGACGUAAUGAUUAAUAGGGAUAGUUGGGGGCAUUAGUAUUCAAUUGUCAGAGGUGAAAUUCUUGGAUUUAUUGAAGACUAACUACUGCGAAAGCAUUUGCCAAGGAUGUUUUCAUUUAAUCUAAGAACGAAAGUUAGGGGAUCGGAAGACGAUCAGAUACCGUCGUAGUCUUUAACCAUAAACCUAUAGCCGACUACGGGAUCGGGAUGAUGUUAAUUUUUAAUGUACUCAUUCG